UUAUCCGAAACUAGUCGAACUAUCCCGAUAAAUACGAGUUUUUUUAAAUAAUAGUACUAAACCUUUUACGAUGAGUUCAGUUCACAUGUUCCAGGACCAUAUAGGGGGAAGUCCCGUAACGCCGGACGGCACCUAGCGCCGGACACUCGUACUAUUUAAGCGAGUGUCGACCCGUUCGAUUCAAAAUACAAGUGAAAGGGGUGCGGGGGUCACACAGGUACAGGGUCACGCGCCGCGCCUCGCCAGUGACAUACACGGCCAUGGCAGGAGCCGCUGAUUGCAGUUUUAGGCGCGAAAUCACGUCGUCAGCUAAAUAUCAAUAGUAUAGAAGAAAGAAGAUAAUAAAAAUGGAAGAGAAGAAAAAGAAAGGAUCUUGGGAGCCACAGAGCUUACAAACUGCUAUUAAUAAAAUUAUGGCAAAAGAACUCAGUGUAACCUAAAAAGGACUAAAUAAAAUCUAAUUUUGAAGUAGCAAUGGAAGGUAAAGGAAAGAAUACCAAUGGAAAGAGCGUAGACAAGAGAAAAGAAGCGACAAACGUGAAACCUAAAGAAAAAAAAGAAGUGAAGUAGAAACAUUGACUGAAACAUCUAAGACAAACAUAACAAUUUGCUUAGUUUGCUUAGAAGCCUCUGAGGAAGCCUGGAUCCAGUGCUCAUCCUAUCGUGGGUGGUUACAUGAAGCAUGUGCAGAUAUUCCAGAGUCUGGAGAUGGCUACAUAUGUGAACGAUGCAGGUUAUUUUGAAAUAUCCGGUGCUAGGGGUAUGGCACAAAUAUUGUCCGGUACUAGGUGCCACUUUUUAAAAUCAUAUUUUUUGUUACCAAAGUUUGAAUGAUGGUAUUAAUUAUUUUUAAGCAGAGGUUGCAUUUUUGUUAAUUUAAUUUGAUUCCUAACUUUGUUAUCUAAUAUAAGUCAUAAACGAAUAAGCAUUUUUUUAAA